CUAAAGGGACGAGCUUUUUGAACCAUCGAUGUAGUUUAUCCUCAGAAACAAUGGUUCAGUUCCACGCCAUUCACCUCCCACCACAACUAUUACAACCCAAUUUCAAAGUUUUGCAGCCAAAAAUUCUAACUUUUAUGAUUAUCAAACACACUACAAAAUUGGGAUUAAUUCAUGAAUACUCAUGGAUUGUUUCGUUCUUUAACACCAGAUUCUCUUCUUUUUCCCCCCCACUUUUCUUCUAGAUCAUUCCUCAUUCUUCAAAAGCAAGCAAAUUUGUCAAUACCCAGUUUUAGAUAUUGCCGAGGUAGUGGCUUUGGCUUUAGUCCGAGACAAUUUGCACCAGUUCUUUUCAGGUAUUAUAAAAAAAGAAACAGUCGUACCCUUUUGAGAGCGAGCUGGAGAGAGUCUCCUUAUGAAGUUUUGGGUGUCUCUCCUUCUGCAACUCCUGAUGAAAUCAAAAGGGCUUAUAGGAAACUUGCUUUGAAGUAUCAUCCUGAUGUCAACAAAGAGGCAAAUGCACAAGAGAAAUUUAUGAGGAUUAAGCAUGCAUAUAAUACAUUACUGAACUCUGAAUCUCGGAGAAGAUACAACCCUGGAAACCGAACAUCUGAUUUUUCAUACUCAAGAACUCAACGAAGCCAAAGCCCGAAUACCCAAGAGGAAGAAUUCUAUGGAUUUGGUAAUUUUUUGAGGGAUGUUCAAAUUACGCUAGAGGACUUCUUUAGAGACCUUCAAGAAGAAUUUCAGAAUUGGGAAGCAAGUGCAUCUUCACAAGAAAAGCCGAAAAGCUUGUGGGAGGAAUUAGCGGCUAUUGGAGAGGAAUUUGUUGAAUUUCUGGAGAAAGAGCUCAACAUAUCUGAUGAUGAAUUCGAAGAAAACAACAGAAACGACUUCAGUAAUUCCGAGAAAACUGGAAGCAGUUUUCGAAAUGAAGCUAACAAGGGUAGCAGCAUCGAGGAGAACAUCGAUGAAAUAGAAGCUACUCUUGCUAAAUUGAAAAAGGAGCUAGGGUUAUAACAAAGGAAAUGCAGCUUUUAUAUUGCCUUGACAAAAAGUCGAGCUGUUUUGUGAGCUUACCAUGCUGGAAAGUGAAUUGCAAUAACAUUUCCGAAGUUCACAUGCAAAAGAAACAUCAAUGUACGAUUUAGAAGCUCCAAGAAAGGGGAAGCUCACCAACACUUGAAAACUAGCAGUUGCUCAUGCAUUUUAUCCAUCUCCAAUACACCCCAAAUUCAUCUCGAUCUUGUUCGUAGCGGCCAUGGCAAAGCCUUUGUCAUCUCUCAAUCUGUAGAUUUCAGCCAUGCUAAUGCAAAGCCAAUAUGUAGGACUCUUUAAUACCACAAACAAUGGAAAUUCUUCAAAUCGUAUCUUUGCAGUUGAGUUCAAUACUAAGCAGAGUAUUGACAUAGAGGAUAUAGAUGAAAAGCAUGAAGGAAUUGAUGUGAAUGGCUUCAAAUCCAUACCAGCAACAUGUUUUUCCAUUGAAGAAAGGAAUAAUAAGCUUGGAGCUCAUCAAUGUACAUCCAACACAGGCUUGGGUAGAUUACAAUGAUGGAGAACAACUACUCACUGUAAACUUGGAACCAACCACAAGCAUUCCAUGAAUUCAAUUACUUUAAUUACUCUUUAGCUUGGGAAAAGCUUCAAAUUUGAACAUCUGUGUAAAAAAAAAAAAACUUAAGGCUGAAGAUUUUAAGAUUGGAAAA